rnacentral:rRNA from 1 species
AUGGCUCGCCUCUGCUUCACCACGCCCAUGCCGCACCUCCGCCGCCGCUACUCCUCCUUCACCUCGCCUCCUUCACGCCGCUGGGACCCCCGACCCGCCUUUGCCGCAGCCACGGAGCGCGUCCGCGCCGGGACGCUCAGCCCUGAAGACGCACACCACCUGUUCGACGAAUUGCUACUGCAGGCCAACCCCGUCCCCGAGCGCUCCCUCAACGGCUUCCUUGCCGCGCUCGCCCGUGCUCCGUCCUCCGCUACUCUCAGAGAUGGACCCUCCCUUGCUCUCGCCCUCUUCAACCGUGUCUGCCGAGAAGAAGCAGGACCGCCGGUGGCGCCGCCCACAGUCCGCACCUACAACAUCCUCAUGGACAGCUGCUGCCGUGCACGCCGCCCGGACCUAGGCCUUGCCUUCUUCGGCCGCUUCCUGAGGGCGGGCCUCAAGGUAAACCUGAUUGUCGCCAGCACCCUACUCAAGUGCCUCUGCCAUGCAAGACGGACAGAUGAGGCUGUCAACAUGCUGCUUCAUAGGAUGUCCGAGUUCGGUUGUGUGCCUGAUGCCAUCUCAUACUCCAUAGUACUUAAGGGCUUAUGUGACAAUAGCAGGAGCCAGCAAGCGCUCGAUCUGCUCCAGAUGGUAAGGAAAGGAGGUGCCUGCUCCCUCAGUGUGGUGGCAUAUAGCAUAAUCAUACAUGGCUUCUUUAAGGAAGGGGAAGUAAGCAAGGCAUGCAAUCUGUUCCAUGAAAUGAUGCAGCAAGGGGUUGUACCAGAUGUGGUCACAUAUAGCUCCAUUAUUGAUGCGCUGUGCAAGGUCAGGGCAAUGGACAAGGCAAAGUUGGUCCUUCAGCAGAUGGUUAAUAAUGGUGUUCGACCAAAUAUGUAUACUUGGAACUCAUUCAUGUACUCCCUGUGCAAGCAUGGAAGAAGCAAAGAAGCUGCAGAAUUUUUUAACUCCAUGACCGCCAAGGGCCUCAAACCUGAUAUUGUCGCGUACUCUACUCUUCUUCACGGGUAUGCUACCGAAGGAUGCCUCACCGAUAUGAUUAAUUUCUUUAAUUCAAUGGAACGCAAUGGUAUUGUAGCCAACUGCAAAGUUUUCACCAUAUUAAUUGAUGGAUAUGCUAAAUGUGGAAUGACAGAUGAAGCUAUGCUCAUCUUUACCAAAAUGCAAGAACAAGGAGUAAGUCCUAAUGUAUUCACCUAUGCAAUUGUAACAGCUGCACUUUGCAGAAUGGGCAGGCUGUCUGAUGCAAUGGAAAAACUAAAUGAGAUGAUUGCAAUGGGCUUACAACCGAACAAGGUUGUUUAUCACUCUCUAAUUCAGGUCUUUUGUACACAUGGUGAUUUGGUGAAAGCAAAGGCCUUGGUUUCUGAAAUGAUGAACAAAGGUAUUCCUCGUCCAAACAUUGUGUUCUUCAACUCAGUAAUAAACAGUCUAUGCAAGGAAGGAAGAGUUACAGAUGCACACGAUAUCUUCGACUUGGCUAUAAACAUUGGUGAGAGGCCUGACGUUAUUACAUUUAAUUCACUGAUUGACGGAUAUUGUUUAGCCGGGAAGAUGGAUAAAGCAUUCGGAGUACUUGAUGCCAUGGUUUCAUCUGGCAUUGAGCCCAAUGUUGUCACAUACAAUACACUUGUUGGUGGCUAUUCUAGAAAUGGAAGGAUUGAUGAUGGGUUGACCCUAUUCAGAGAAAUGAUGCAUAUCAAAAUUAAACCUACAACUGCAACAUAUGGCGCCAUACUUCAUGGGUUGUUUCGUGCUGGCAGAACUUUUUCUGCGAAGAAAAUGUUCAAUGAGAUGAUUGAAAGUGGAACAACAGUGAACAUUUCCAUAUAUGCUAUAAUUCUUGGAGGACUUUGUAGAAACAAUUGCGUUGAUGAAGCAAUCGUCUUGUUCGAGAAAUUAGGUGCAAUGAAUGUGAAGUUGGAUGUUGGAAUAUUCAAUACCAUGAUUAAUGCAAUGUACGCGGUUAAGGGAAGAGAAGAAGCUGAGGAUUUGUUUGCUGCAAUAUCAGCCAAUGGGUUGGUACCUAAUGCUUCUUCUUACGGUGUUAUGAUAACAAAUCUUCUAAGAGAAGGAUUAGUGGAAGAAGCUGACAAUAUGUUUUCAUCAAUGGACAAGAGUGGUUGUGCUCCUAGCUCUCGUCUGUUAAAUAAUAUCAUCAGAAUGUUAUUGGAAAAAGGUGAGAUAUCUAAGGCUGGAAAUUAUAUGUCUAAAGUUGAUGGAAAGAAUAUCUCACUUGAAGCUUCAACUACUUCACUGCUGCUGUCUCUCUUUUCAAGGGAAGGCAAAUAUCGGGAGCAAAUAAAAUUGCUCCCUGCCAAGUAUCAAUUUUUUGAUGGAUCCAGCCAUAGUUGA